AUUGAACGCUGGCGGCAUGCCUAACACAUGCAAGUCGAGCGAGCGGCGGACGGGUGAGUAAUGUCUGGUAAACUGCCUGAUGGAGGGGGAUCACUACUGGAAACGGUAGCUAAUACCGCAUACCAUCAGAUGUGCCCAGAUGGGAUUAGCUAGUAGGUGGGGUAAUGGCUCACCUAGGCGACGAUCCCUAGCUGGUCUGAGAGGAUGACCAGCGACACUGGGACGGAGACACGGUCCAGACUCCUACGGGAGGCAGCAGGGGGGAAUAUUGCACAAUGGGCGCAAGCCUGAUGCAGCCAUGCCGCGUGUGUGAAGAAGGCCUUCGGGUUGUAAAGCACUUUCAGCAGGGAGGCGUUACCCGCAGAAGAAGCACCGGCUAACUCCGUGCCAGCCGCCGCGGUAAUAC
rnacentral:rRNA from 1 species